AUAAUUGACGCUGAGAAAUGGCACCUCAGCACAAAAAUGCAGAUUCAUAAUGAGUCAUCAGCUGUUCUACGGCUGUUCCCUUUUUCGGCAACGGAGGCAAUGGAGAUGCUGUCGUGCCUGCGCUGAAUUUUGUGGAGAUGCAUUGCAAGGAUGACUUUGGCAGUUUAAUUACACAGCUACUACUAAAGUUUGAUCUCCUUUUCACAGGGAACCUGAUUACAAACCGUGGAGAGAGGCUGCAAGCAGCUUGGAUGCAGUAC
rnacentral:lncRNA from 1 species